AGCACAUUCCGGCCCCAUUGAAAAUGAAUGGGUCCGCACCUGUUUCGCAAAACUGGGGUAAAAGGUAAGGAAGCGUAUUUAUGUAUGACACUAGUUCUUUCAAUCAGAAAAAGUGAUGAAAUGUCAAACAUUGUGCAUUAUCAGAUGGACAGUUAGAAGUAAGUAAAAUCAUCCAGAAUCGGACUCUCGUCUAAACAGACAGCACAGAGUGGCAGUUUUUCUGGAUUUCAUUAAAACACUCCUAUUUUGUGUUACUUCAUUGUACUUCAAAUAAAAGGAUCUUUCUGAUUGCUCAGUAUUA